UCACAUUCUUGUGCCAGGUCCUCUUCCACAGCGUGUAGCAGCUUGGGGUUAGCUUCAUUAUCCUCAGCCUUCCUACCACGUUUGCUGAAACAGGUGUCCAUCUAGCUACAGUUGUGUAAGUAACGAAAACAGCACCAUGUCAUAGAAGCUAAGGUUAAGAUACAAUAGUCAAUCGUGACAUCUUAGUUGUUUAGAAAUAGCGACAAGAAAACUGGAGCAAAUACUACUAGCCUCUAUGCUACUAACGUUAUAGCCUGUUGGCUGCCUUGUAACGGAGACGUAAGGACUUUGUACUUAAAGGCUAACUAGUAUUAGUUAGUACUUAAUAAAACGGCAAAGACUGUAAACAAAAGACUAACGUCACAGUUAUAAUGUCCUCCUCAAAAAAAUGUUCUUUUAAAAUCCAAAUUACACACCGGUAUUUCGCGUUAGCUUACCUGAAGUAGGAAACUUCCAGACUGUUGAUCAGUGUGUUGCACUGCUGGCAUGUCCGUCACGUCGCCUUGGGAUCUACUCAUGUGGAUACUGACGUUACGUAAACGUUACGUUACGCGCGCAUUCAGUUCAAAUUCAACAACACUUGUAAACAGUGAUGAAAUAUUAAUACAUGUGUUAGUUUUAAUUAGUUUUAUAUUUAGAAAAGCCAACUACGUUUGAAAUCUCAUAACUUUUUUCACGAAUACAGGUGCAGUUCCCCUGUAGACACACGUGGGGGCGCUGUUCUGUCUUGUUGAUGGAGCAUUGAGCGACGAGAAGAAGACUGACGUACCGACUUAAAAAAAAAGGCGCGGGUGCGGAUCAGAGACGGGUGACUAGUUGUUGAUGCAAUGGCACUGAUGGGAGAACUUUUAAAACAUAUUAGGCGUUCAAAUACACACAAGAGCAGAAGGAAAAUUGUGAAAUAGAUGCAGAAACGUGGUAUCCUGACGACGACGACGAUGAAGUGCGCAAAAUGCAACCGUCGCAUGCAUCUGGUGAAAUGCCAUGUCGAGGAUGGGCUGUGGUGGGUCUGUAAGCAUCAUAAAAGUUUGUACGUAAUGGCUCAAUAUUCACCAAGUCUCACAUCCCCCUGACAAAAUGGCUCGAGCACAUGCACAGUGCCUAGCGGCUGCGGCGGCAACACCAAUCAGGAUCCAUCCAGGAACUUUGUAAACACAUACAGGUUGUGGAUUCGCCUGCCUGCCCACCUGUUCGGAAUGGAUUUAUUAGCCAUGGAUAUGAAGGGACCAUUGAGUGCUCCCACUCCCACAGAUGCCCGCAAAAGGCCUCAAGUACAAAGUGAGACUAAAGAAGAUCAAUUCACGUUUUUUAAACAUUGCAUUAAGACCGGGACAAACAAUAUUAAUCACGCAUUGAGCGUGACAGUCACUCAUUUCAUUUCGGUCUUUAGUCACGCACCAAUUUCGCACCAAAAAAAAUAAAUUCAUAGUUUACCCACCUCUAAUUUUACCACAACAAUGUUGGAUACAGGAUAACAUUAGCACAAAGCUAUCCUUUUUUAUACAUUACAUCCAUCUCAGUGUGUUUAGGUCCUUACAGUAGAUAGAAACAACCAGAUUCCAUCCCUGAAGGCCUAUUGGUGAUCUCAUUAGGCACACACUCACAAUGCAUUAGCUCAUUCACUUCAACCGCAGAAUGGGAGCAAUAGUUUGAAAAUUGACCAUUUGCAUUUCGCAGCCUUUAUUUAAAUUCUUUUUUGGCUCUGCCUUAUCAGCCACAACGAUUAGAGAUGCUGCUUUGCAUCUAGUUUCUAUAAACAGUCUGGGUCCCAAUCUUUGUUAACUUCCUCUACCCUUUUCACAGAACUUAAAAAUCAAAGGCCAUAUGGCUGAAUACACCCAUCAGAUGCUUUCAGAUCCCGGACUGUUGGUGGAAAGUGCAUGUCCCAAUGACAGAAAUGAGCUCAGACAGCACGAGGUCACAUAAUCCUAUGUGUGAAUUAGAAGAUUGUGCAUUUCACAAUAAUUAAUUACUUAUUCUCAUACGGGCUGUCAGCCACUAUUUACAUGAUCUCCCAAUACACACAAAGGUGUCUGCUCUAAUAAGAAGCAAUUCCGCUCAAAAAUUGAUUAUCAGCGAAGGAUUAGUAAUCCUCAACAGGAAUGUUUGGAAAAAGUGUGGAUACAAGAAUUAUAGUGUGGUGUUAUUUGUCAUGAUGGUAUACAAAUAAUAACCGAGGCUCCCUAGUCUUGUCGCAAUCAGACCUUCUUGUGAGGAAGGACCCCCUCUGGCCCGAUGUUAGAUUGUUCGAUUCAAAUCAAAGGAUGUUUAUUCUUCAUAAAAACGAGUUACAAGUUGAAUCACGUAACAAUAUAUUUCAUGAAAAAGAGGUCAAUUGUGUUUCACCCAAUAGUGAAACAUGUUGUGGAAUAUUUCAAUAAAAUAGUUCGGGAGAGGAGAAUGAAUUCUUUCAAUGUUUAUCUAAUAAAAAACUAAAAGAGUCUUGAUGAAUAAAAUUGUUUUACACAUGUGAAGGCCAUCCUCAGUGGCAGGUACGAGAAGUUGCAAAUCCAAGUUGAGAUAUUAACCAUGAUUAAGAUGGGGGUAACACACACAGUUCCUUUGUUUGAGCAAGUUAACUCCCUUCUUCAGACACAGCUGCAUAUGGAAACCUUAAAUCUUUCUGCUUUUGCACAUCACUGCAAUACAGACAAUAAUCACUCUUUUAGCAUAACAUAUUUUUACCACUACAAGAGUAUUCUUUAAUCACACAUAAUAUUGCAAGCAAAUGUAAAACAUAAAAUAAAAUAAAAUAUAAAAUAUAGAACACCAGGACCAUGAACACUGAAACAUAAGAAAAUAAAAUAAUAAUGUCGAAACAAGUUCCCCCUAGCCUCUUGAGGGUGUUCCAUGGGCGUUGUCGCUCCAUGAUAAGCGCGAACCACUCUUUAGGUAGCUGACUACUAGGGGUGUAACUAUUCAUCCACUGAAUCGAUUAAUCGAUUUAUAUUCCUGCGAUCCACCUGAAUCGAUCUGUGCUCCGCAAAUCGGGAUUCUGGACGACAUAUAUCGAUUACAAAUCGAUUGAAAUGGUACAUAAUCUAUUUGUAAUCUAUUUGGGGUCGUCGUGGCGCAGGGGUUAGAGAAGGUGUGCUGGGAAGCACAAGGUUCGAUUCCAGGCUGCCCCAUGUUCCAUGUCAAAGUGUCCCUGAGCAAGACACCUAACCCCUAAUUCCCCGGGCAAAAAUGUGAAAAGCCAUGGGUUUAAAGUGUAAUGUAAGUCGCUUUGGAUAAAAGCGUCAGCUAAAUGACCUGUAAUGUAAUGUAUCGAUACUUGGAAACUGCACAUUGGAUUUAAGCACAAAAACUGUAUGGAUGUUUGUUUGUUUUUUAGCACUUUAGACACGUUAAACGUUACUCGAUUCAGUCUGCCUGUCUGUGACGUCAUCAGUACGCAGCGGCAGCCGCGCAAAACUGAACAACAACAAAACCCAGCGUUGAGGAGACGACUGCGAGCGAGACAUUUACAAACCAACUUAUCGAUCCAGCGUGUGGAAAUAUUUUGGCUUUUGCAAACACGGAGGUGUUCUAAAUAAGUCGGUCGCUGUUUGUAGAAUAUGUGGAAGACAAAUAAAAAACCACAACGGAUCUUUCCGGCUAUCUAAGGCGCCGUGGGAUUAAACAACGCCGACAGUCAGGCACCUCUAGCAGCGUUACCGCUGCAGCAGCAGCAGGUAACUCCAGCUCUGCAGACACCUCAGGCCUCGCCAGCAACAAACUCAACAUCACAGUAACAAUUGCCAAGUUUAUCUGUGAAGACAUGCGACCCUACAAUGUGGCUGAAAAUCCGGGGUUCUGUGAAUUGAUCCAAACAUUGUGUAAUUAUUGUAUGUUUACAUUGAAAGUGGUUGCACAAUAAAAGGUUAAUACAUUUGCCAUGCAUAAAUUGUUUGCCUGUUUAUAAUAUCCAUAAUUAAUUUAAACCUGAUUUCCUUACAAGAAACAACAGGGAUCUUGGCAACUUUGCAUGCACUGUCCAGUAAAGUUACUGAAUCGAUUUUAAGUCACUGAAUCGAAUCGUUCUAAAUUAACCCAGAUUGUCCAUGAAUCGAAUCGGCAACCACGAAUCGCGAUUCGAAUCGAAUCGUUGUUAAAAUGAAUCGUUACACCCCUACUGACUACAGAAUCACAAAAAGAUACUUAAAAAUAAGUAUGAAACUGAAGCCAGCAAUAAUAUGAAUAAAACCGUGGAGACACAAACGACUACUGUGUCUACGUGAAGGGGUCCUGGCUGUGUUCCUCUUCUCGUGUGGGUCCGUGGGUACACGUUGGGAGUCUGCCAACCUUCUUUCUUGUGAGGCAUCUGCGUUGUAGACAGUCAACACAGAUCACAAUGCACUGUGUGUCUGUCGGUCAACUGCUGGUUGUUAACCCGUCCGUGGUCACUGCAACGGUGGUUGUGAGCCUACUAUUACUAGAUCUGAAACAAUGGGACCCGUGGACCCAAGUUGCCCUCUCAGCUACUUUGACAGCAGUUUGGGUUACAAGGAGGACCUGGAAUGGUCCCUGCCAGCGUCGUGCUUCCCAGUUUUUUCUCCUAUCCAGGGCAGACCUGUGUCCGCACAGCAUUGUGCCAACUUGGUUUUAAGUGUGCCAUUCUCUCUUUCAACAGCCCCUCCACCGACUGGAUGGUAAGAUUAGUGUGUUUUUAAAUCAAUACCCAGGUAUGGGCUUAAUUCUGUAAUGGCCUGGUUGACAAAAUGAGAACCAUUGUCACUUGAUAUUUUAGCAGGAAUGCCUCAUCGAAGGAUGAUUUCAGAAAUUAGGGCCUUGGCUACUGUUGC
ensembl:lncRNA